rnacentral:lncRNA from 1 species
GACCAUAUUACUCUUGGCCGAUCCCCUUAAGUGGGUAGGUGCCAAUCUUCCUAGGAGCAUCAUCAUCAAAAGUGUGAACCAUUGUUGGUGUUUCAUCUGACAUGAACGUGGCCCGCGUGCCCGUUACGUGAGCGGGCGCAGAAGCGCGUGAAUCGGCCGGCGGCCAGCUGUGGCCGCUCGCGGCUGCGCUCCUCUCGGUACUGGUGAGCCGUUGGUCUGGGCUGAGUGCCCCCGAGAAAUGCUCUUCGGAUUAAAUGCGGUUUCAGCACAGGUCCUGUUUACGCUACUCCUCAAGCUUGCUUUGAUACUGUUCAAGCUCUUCGCGAGAAGAGGUCUCGUAAGUCACCUGAAAUCGUUGUCUGAAGGACACAGCACCGGACGAAGACUCGUAUUUUCAAGCUGAGAAGAUGUACGUAGAAGACUCAACAGUAGGAGUGUUUGCAAUUGCAGCUAUCAUGCUCAGGAUACAGUCCAAUCUCUGCUUAAUAUAUGGCAAGCUCGAUGAUGAAGAACGUAAUCGGUAUGUCAAUCUCAGCGCACUUGCUGGCACAUUGUGCGAAUUUUUUGGACUAAUGUACCUGUUGGAUUUCGUUACCUCCAAGCAAACUGAAUCGCUGAGCAUUCUGCAGUGCAUUGUACCUCGAAUGACCUCUGUUCAUCCCACUUCAUAAAGUGUGGUAGUUCCGGCCAACCAGUAGCUGCAGGAGCUGAAGCCACUGCAAAUGUUCAUCUACGACAAGAUAAUCUACAGAUGGCUCAAACUCUCUCUUGCGCUGAACGUUGCGCUGCUCUUAAUCACAGCUAAGUGUUGCCAAUCACGUCCUUUGAAAGUGUUCCACAGUUUUGCAGCCAGGAUAUCGGGCUACCUGACCGUGCUUGCAUUAUUUGGGGAGUUCAGCGAAGAGUUUGAAGAACUGGAGUGCGCUAGAUGAAUCAACUAGGAGCAGCACAAACUUGGU